GAGUGCGAUCAUACCAGCACUAACGCACCGGAUCCCAUCAGAACUCCGCAGUUAAGCGUGCUUGGGCGAGAGUAGUACUAGGAUGGGUGACCCCCUGGGAAGUCCUCGUGUUGCACCC
rnacentral:rRNA from 2 species